GGCACAGUGGUUAAAAUGGUUAAAAUGCCUCUUGGGACAUCUGCAUCCCAUAUCAGAGUACCUGGGUUCAAGUCCCGGCUCUGCUU
rnacentral:tRNA from 1 species